UACGAGUGGUCCAAGCAUUAUCCGGAUUUAUUGGGCGUAAAGGGUGUGUAGGUGGUUUUGUUAGUCUUCUGUUUAACCCUCGGGCUCAACCCGAGAUCGGCAGGAGAAACGGCAAGACUAGAGGUUGUGAGAGGUAAGCAGAACUCAUGGUGUAGGGGUGAAAUCCGUUGAUAUCAUGGGGAAUACCAAAAGCGAAGGCAGCUUACUGGCACAUACCUGACACUGAGGCACGAAAGCGUGGGUAGCGAAUGGG
rnacentral:rRNA from 1 species